GGAAUAUUGGUCAAUGGGCGUAAGCCUGAACCAGCCAAGUCGCGUGAGGGAGGACGGCCCUACGGGUUGUAAACCUCUUUUGCCGGGGGACAAACGUCGGCACGCGUGCCGUCCUGAGGGUACCCGGAGAAAAAGCAUCGGCUAACUCCGUGCCAGCAGCCGCGGUAAUACGUAGGGGGCAAGCGUUAUCCGGAUUUACUGGGUGUAAAGGGAGCGUAGACGGCAGCACAAGUCUGGAGUGAAAUGCCGGGGCUUAACCCCGGAACUGCUUUGGAAACUGUGCAGCUAGAGUGCAGGAGAGGUAAGUGGAAUUCCUAGUGUAGCGGUGGAAUGCGUAGAUAUUAGGAGGAACACCAGUGGCGAAGGCGGGUUGCUAGACUGUAACUGACACUGAGGCACGAAAGCGUGGGGAGCAAACAG
rnacentral:rRNA from 1 species